rfam:Schistosoma mattheei strain Denwood, Zambia genome assembly, scaffold: SMTD_contig0000045
GCAUUGUUGAUGAGUCCCAUACUAGAACGAAACGGCCGUCCAAUGC